UAUCUGCAGUCUCUUUUUGGGGAUCCAGAGCUGUAUGUGCUGUGGGUUUUCAGAGUUGCAGAGAGAAUAAUCCAGAGGAAGCCGAGACAUAACUGUGAAAGUAUCAGCAAGUUUAAGUGCUAUAUUCCUCUAACAUUUUGUUAUUCUGUUACCACGGAGGUAAUAACUUUCCCAUGUUGUUACCAAUCCAGCAACAGAUAGACUAAUGCAAAAUGAUAUUGUUUGCAGAAUUGAGUUUUCUGAUAGACACUGAAACUCUGCUACACUU